rnacentral:piRNA from 1 species
UGCAUUUGUAGAAUUUGAGAAUGAUGGU